CCGUAAGUGGGGGGCAGCCUGCGAGAACGAGUGUGUGCAGGCACAGCCAGAUUACUGAGAAAAUAAGGAAAUGAGCUUGUGGGAGGGAUGGAGGGAGAAUAACUGAGUAGGUGACAGAGGCUACACUCGAGAGCCUAAGACAGCAAAGGGGGCUGCCUACUGGUCUUGUAUCCAUCCAGCUCCCAGGGAAAGGAACAAGAAAGGGAAUACACCGUAUGAACACCGUAUGAACAAUCAGAUCCUGUGGCCAAGCCCAGAGGACAUCACAAAAGUGAGUAUGUGGCGUGCUGACAAGCCGUGUGUGCAACUGCAUGUGCCAGCUUUGUGUGAGGACAGCAGAGACACAGAAGGUAAACAAGGGUGCACGGGUGUCGGGGUGCACACGGGGCACAAGCAGAGAGCAUCUGGAAUUAUCAUACAGCCAGGAUGGCGGGAAUCUAGUAAACGUUCAGUGUUUACUAUUUCUCUGCACUCUCAUAAGAACACUCCGUUAUGCACUGCGUUGCUCUACUAUAGAGAUGAAGUGACCUCAUGGCUUUGUGUCUGCUUUCCCUAUAGACAUCACCCUCGAAAGGUCCAACCUCCUGUCAGCACAGGCAUCUGGCCCCUGUCCCAAAGGCUGUGUCCUCGUUUCUCUGAGGAGCACUUUGUACUGACCCAGGAGCCGGCAUGCAGCCUCGGCUCCAGAUGGGAGUAGCCAUCUGCCUACAGUCUGGGUCUCCAGGUUGUCGUGAAUGGGCUCUGUCCCAUAGACUCCCGUGACACGUGAGUGGGAUCAGAAGGCACUGCUGAAUUUAAACGUGUGCAAGCCUAAACACAUUUUCACUGUGUUAAGCUGUUGGGAUGGUUUGUGAUAAGCCACAGCUGUGACGUGUGACCAAGCUGCUGCCCUGCACAGCCACCAAAACCAAAGCUGCCAGGGGAAGCCAGCAGCUAUAGGCAUAGCAAAGAAACCCAACAGUAAUUUCAAAAUUGGAGCCCCUUCAGAGGCAAGCAGAGCCUCCUGCUCUUCUUUCUGCCCCUCCCCCAUCAAGGCACCUACUCCGGUACUAUCCUCAUGUGCCUGCCUUCUAACCCGCCGCGCCCCCAUCACCCAGUUGCACACUGAUGUCCCUGUUGCUGCCACAAGUCACUGCCCCUGUGUGCUCUUCCCCUCUGCUCACCUCAGCACCUAGAGGACAAGACCUCUCUACAGUGUGUACUGAUCAGCCAUCAGGACCAGGGCCCGCCUCCAUGCUCGCUAAAUAUCUGUUCAGAGUGGAGUGGCGUCACAAAGUGCAGACACUGCUUUACGAUGGAGCUCAAUUCUUAUUCAAGUAUCUCAGGAUUACAACACUAAUAACUGACUAAGUAUCCAAUGGAUUAAUUCUGUUAAGAAGUAAAUCCACAAAUCCCAGUCUGCCACCGAGUGCUUAGUCUAAAUGCUCUACAGGAAAGGGUGUGUGAAGAUAAAAUUUUAGAUUAGACAGUUCGGUAGGUGACAAACAAAUCAGGCCUCUGGGAGUGAGCUGGGUUGGGGAGUGACUCACCACAGUCUCCUCCAGUCCCUUGAGGUCCUCCCUGGCUUGCUCCCUUUUGUCAUUGAGCAAUCUGAGAGACAGAAAGGAAUCGUGAGCCACUGAGGCAGCAGCACCAGAAUUGGAGCAGAUGCAGUUUGCACCUCAGGCAUACCUCAGCAAGGAAGGCUAGGCAGAGAAAGGCCCAAGCAAGCCACUGCUGCUUUGAACAGCAGGAGUCUCCAGGGCUCCACUAGGGCUGGCCCUGGGGAGUGGGAGGGGAUGACGAGUCAGGGAGGGUUAAGGCACUCACAGGAGCUUCUCCAGUUUCACUUCUCUCUCCUGGUCCUCUAUUUUCAGCUUGUUAUAAUCAGAGCUGAGCCUCUCCUGUUCCAGUUGCAGUUUCUGAUUCAAACUGAAAUUGAGAGGAAAAAGCAAUAUAUUCCAGGUCAGCUUGAACUUCUGAGUCAUCCGCCGAAAGCGCUGGUUCUCUUCCAGCCCCAUUAGUUCUGGGCAAUAAAGGCAACAAUUCGGGAGGAUUUUGAGGGAUCAGAGAACAACUUCACAGCUUCUUCUCUGCCCGAGUGAAAACUAAUUUCUGGGGAGCAGCUCGGAAGCAUGAAAUGAAACAAAGGCUUUGCGGUUGUAUUUAUAGUUUGUUUGUGUGCAAGGGCUCUGUGGGGAUAUAAUGACAUUGGAGAAAAGAUGAUGCUUGAACAUAGAGAGGAGGGAGGGAGGGGGAGGGAAAGAGAAAGAGAAUGAGCCCUGUUAUAUACACUCUGCUGCUAUACACACCCAGAGAACAGCUGUAUACUCAGUAACUAUUUGGCCAUUCAACAGCAUCCCCCCACAAGUGUCGGAAGCUGUCUUCCAUGGAGGACGGCAGCCGACAUGGGGCAGCCCUUGGAGUACGGUUUUGUGGAGACAGAAAGUCAGCAUCUGGCUGUGCUGGUCAAAUUUAUGUCAAUCUGACAUGAGCUGAAGUCAUUUGGGAAGGAGGGCUCUCAAUUGAGGAACUGCUGUCACAAGAUCUGCCUGAAGGCAAGUCUGCAGUAUUUUAUUGUUAUUGAUGAAUGCUAUGGAAGGAACAAGCUCUCCGAAGAGGUGCCAUCCCAGGGCUGGUGGUACUGGGUGCUGUAAGAACGCAGGCUGAGCAAGCCAUGAGGAGCAAGGCAGUAAGCAGCAGCCCUGCAGAGCCUCUGCCCUAAGUUCCUGUCCUCACUUCCCUGGAUGAUAACUGUCAACUGCUUAACUCGAAAUAAAUCC
rnacentral:lncRNA from 1 species